GCCAGUGUGGUGUAGUGGUUGUUUGAGUGUUGGACUAGGACUCUGGAGACCAGGGUUCGAAUCCCUGCUCAGCCA